rnacentral:rRNA from 1 species
UACAGAGGUCUCAAGCGUUGUUCGGAUUCACUGGGCGUAAAGGGUGCGUAGGUGGCCUAAAAAGUUUGAUGUGAAAGCUCAGGGCUUAACCCUGAAAUGGCAUUGAAUACUGUUGGGCUGGAGGUUUGGAGGGGGGACUGGAAUUCUUGGUGUAGCAGUGAAAUGCGUAGAUAUCAAGAGGAACACCAGUGGCGAAGGCGAGUCCCUGGACAACACCUGACACUGAGGCACGAAAGCCGGGGGAGCAAACAGG